CACACCCGGGCUCGGCCAGGCUGGGACUCCGGCCGAAAGGAGCGGAGGAAGGAACGCAGGCCCUGACCGUCAGGGUGCCCGCUCACUAGCACCCUUAUCCUUUGGUUCCCCAGCACGUGGCAGGCCCUAGACAAACCGCAGCCCUGCGGGCAGCAUUCAUUCUUCCCAUUUUAUGGACAGGAGACUGAGGCUCGGCAAGGUUAAAUGAGUUGACCAGGGUGCCUCAGGCAAAAAACAGCAGAACAAGAAAUCCUAAACCAGUGUGUCUGGUUGCAAAACCCCGCUUUCUCCCCACCGCACCUGUCGGCAGUGAGUUUGUAAAGCUGCUAAAGGGGAGAAGUAAAGUAUGCACGUCCGCGAGUCGCAGACCGACAGACCAAGGGGAGCGGAAAGCCACGCUCCAGCGCUUCCUUCGGUGUGUCAAACCGGGACUCGAACGGCAGGAUGAACCGCAGGCUAACUUUCCCGAUGUCGGUCAUCUCAGAGGUGGCGGUGAGAACCAGAGGGCACUUCAAGAUCACCUCAGCCAAGGCUUCUCUACCUCUUUUAUAAUCCAAGUCAUUCUUAAUAAACACAAAAACCGCACACCCUCGUUUAAUGAGUUUCAAAUUCAAAAUAAAUGAAGUAUCAUGAUUCAAAACUAA